CUGGCCAGGGCAAUUCUGUCUAUUAUAGGGAGCGGAAAAAUUCAGAGAUGUGCAGCAUAAACUUCACUUCAUUGUCAGUGCAAAUUAAGAAUAGAACCUGACACUAAUGCUGCUGUGAACACACCUGUUUAAGUGCUGUCAUGAUUUGCAUCACUAUACCGCAUCCUGCUCUACUCACGCCAAGUCGUGAAUGUUAUGCGUUUCUCGCGGUUUACUCUCUACUAAGUUUGAGGUAACACGCGUCAUUUCGUCCCACAUGAGCAGAACAAAGCUACACCGCCCUUAAAUGCACAAGUGUAGAACGAUUACCGCGUGCACAGCCCGCUAAGGGUAGCUACCACCCGUUAUAAAAUACGAAUUAUUCCUCUUCUUGUGUUAGGGGGCUGCGGAGAUCAUUACUGMAKKUMYGACAAGGUUGUAGCUGGCCCUAUCCGGGCAUGUGCACGCCUUGCUCAUUCCAAUUCUUACACCUCUGUGCACUUAACAUGGGCUGGUCGUAGGCUUUAGUCUUGCUUCACUGUGAGACGGGCUUUGACCUGCCUGUGGUUACUCUACAAACACUUUAAAGUAUUAGAAUGUAACAUCGCGGAUAAUAAACGCAUCUUAUACAACUUUCAGCAACGGAUCUCUUGGCUCUCGCAUCGAUGAAGAACGCAGCGAAAUGCGAUAAGUAAUGUGAAUUGCAGAAUUCAGUGAAUCAUCGAAUCUUUGAACGCACCUUGCGCUCCUUGGUAUUCCGAGGAGCAUGCCUGUUUGAGUGUCAUGGUAUUCUCAAUUCUCUAAAUCUUUGCGGAUUUGGAUGAAUUGGAUGUGGAGGUUUAUUGCUGGCGACUAUCCUUCUGGAUCUGUGUCCGGCUCCUCUGAAAUAAAUUAGCAGGAAUGUUGCCGUGCCAACCUCAGUGUGAUAAUUAUCUGCGCUGUUGUUGCUCAGCAAAAUAUAUGUUCUUGCUUCUAAUCGUCUUCGGACAAUUUCUUGACAUCUGACCUCAAAUCASGCUGARGACGUWCCCKCUGAACUUAAGCAUAUCAAUAGCCGGAAAAGGGAUCAAUUACUGAAUUUAUGACAAGGUUGUAGCUGGCCCUAUCCAGGCAUGUGCACGCCUGCUAAUCAUUCUCAACUCUGUGCACUUAAAAGGGCGGUCGUAGGCUUUAGUCUGCUUCAUGUGAGACGGCUUUGACUGCGUGGUUUACCUCAACUUUAAGUAUAGAAGUAACACGGAAUAAAACGCACUAACACUUCAGGACUUGGCUUGCACGUAAAAAGCACGAUGGCGUAGUAUGUGAUUGCAAAAAUCAUGAAUCACGAACUUGAAGCAGGCUCGGGUUUCAGCAGCAGCAUUGAUGUCAGGUAUCUCAUUCUUAAUUUUGCGAUGAGAUGAAGUGAGGUUUAUGCUGCACAAUCUCUGAAUGUUUGUCCGCCUCCCUAAAUAAAUAGACAGAUGGUCGAAGACAAAUGGGUGCUGCCACCUCAUGGAUAUAUUGGAUUUUGGCUACAAUAUAUUCGCUCUGACGGCAUGCAUCAUACUAGCUACAC
rnacentral:rRNA from 1 species